UACGUAGGGGGGCUAGCGUUGUCCGGAUUUAUUGGGCGUAAAGAGCGUGUAGGCGGCCAGGUAGGUCUGCUGUGAAAACUCGAGGCUCAACCUCGAGAUGUCGGCGGAAACCCCUCUGGCUAGAGUCCGGAAGAGGAGAGUGGAAUUCCCUGGUGUAGCGGUGAAAUGCGCAGAUAUCAGGAAGAACACCCGUGGCGAAGGCGGCUCUCGUGGGACGGUACUGACGCUGAGACGCGAAAGCGUGGGGAGCAACAGG
rnacentral:rRNA from 1 species